AUUGAACGCUGGCGGCAGGCCUAACACAUGCCAGUCGAGCGGAUGAAGGGAGCUUGCUCCUGGAUUCAGCGGCGGACGGGUGAGUAAUGCCUAGGAAUCUGCCUGGUAGUGGGGGAUAACGUCCGUAAACGGGCGCUAAUACCGCAUACGUCCUGAGGGAGAAAGUGGGGGAUCUUCGGACCUCACGCUAUCAGAUGAGCCUAGGUCGGAUUAGCUAGUUGGUGGGGUAAAGGCCUACCAAGGCGACGAUCCGUAACUGGUCUGAGAGGAUGAUCAGUCACACUGGAACUGAGACACGGUCCAGACUCCUACGGGAGGCAGCAGUGGGGAAUAUUGGACAAUGGGCGAAAGCCUGAUCCAGCCCUGCCGCGUGUGUGAAGAAGGUCUUCGGAUUGUAAAGCACUUUAAGUUGGGAGGAAGGGCAGUAAGUUAAUACCUUGCUGUUUUGACGUUACCAACAGAAUAAGCACCGGCUAACUUCGUG
rnacentral:rRNA from 1 species